rnacentral:ncRNA from 1 species
GUCUUCAGGGCGGGGUGCAAGUCCCCACUGGCGGUUAUAGUCCGCGACCUGUCUGAUGGCAGCUGAACCGGUGAGAUUCCGGUACCAACGGUAUAGUCCGGAUGGAAGAAGAU